rnacentral:rRNA from 1 species
UAGGGAAUCUUCGGCAAUGGGGGGAACCCUGACCGAGCAACGCCGCGUGAGUGAAGAAGGUUUUCGGAUCGUAAAGCUCUGUUGUUAAGGAAGAACGAGUGUGAGAAUGGAAAGUUCAUGCUGUGACGGUACUUAACCAGAAAGGGACGGCUAACUACGUGCCAGCAGCCGCGGUAAUACGUAGGUCCCGAGCGUUGUCCGGAUUUAUUGGGCGUAAAGCGAGCGCAGGCGGUUAGAAAAGUCUGAAGUGAAAGGCGGUGGCUCAACCAUUGUAGGCUUUGGAAACUGUUUAACUUGAGUGCAGAAGGGGAGAGUGGAAUUCCAUGUGUAGCGGUGAAAUGCGUAGAUAUAGGGGGGAACACCGGUGGCGAGAGCGGCUCUCUGGUCUGUAACUGACGCUGAGGCUCGAAAGCGUGGGGAGCGAACAGG